rnacentral:tRNA from 1 species
CAUUAAGUGGCUGAAAAGCAAAGCAAUGAUCUCUUAAAUCAUAAUAUAAUAAACUAGCAAUUAUUCUUAAUG